UCUGUAGGCGGCAAAGUAAGUUUGAUGUGAAAGCUCCGGGCUUAACCCGGAGAGUGCAUUGAAUACUGCUUAGCUAGAGGGGAUCAGAGGAAAGCGGAAUUUCCGGUGUAGCGGUAAAAUGCGCAGAUAUCGGAAAGAACACCAGUGGCGAAGGCGGCUUUCUGGGAUCAACCUGACGCUGAGAGACGAAAGCUAGGGUAGCGAACAGGAUUAGAUACCCUGGUAGUCC
rnacentral:rRNA from 1 species